rnacentral:lncRNA from 1 species
GUCAAGUGGUCCAGCUAGCCGAAGAGGAGUCUGGGAGCGGCAGUGUCCUUUGCAUCGGAGCCCCUCCGUGGCCCCUGGAGCCAGAGAGGCUGGACGUGUCCACUUUCGCCCCAGCGCCAGGUGCUUUUCCCAUCUUCUCCUAGCCACGCCGAGAGAGGCAGUGCCAGCACGGCCCUUUCCACAGAGGGGGAAACAAGAGGCUCAGUCGCUUUCCCAAGCCGGUCGGCACCGGGCCUAGAGGCCAGUCCAGAUUCAGGUGUGCGGUGUCUGGCAAGACGACGGCACAGGUGUGGCGUUUCCCCACCAGGCGCGAGGCCCUCUGUUCCUGCUUUUUGGAGGUCAGCAGGUGGCUCUGGGAUGUGGCACAGAGAAGCCGAGGUGCCUCCUGGGGCGGUUGUUUAUCGAGCCCUCAUGAUGUGCCAGGCACCGCCUGGACGCCACAGCAAACUCUCUGCCCUCAAGGGGCCCACAUUCCCAGAUGAGACAGGAGCCGGGCAUUAACCCAACCGAGACGGCAUGGAAGGCCACAGUUCCAGGUGGGGAGCUACAAGAUGGGGAGCCCUCCUGCCUGGGUCCCUGAGAGACCGCUUGGAGCAGAGCAGCUGCCGUGAGAGGAACUUCCCCCGGGUGGAGCCGCCAAGGUUUGGGAUGUUUGUUCCUGCAGCAGAGUCGAGCCUGGCCUGGCUCAUGCAACAGUGUCCCACUUCCGAGGGACCCAUCACCCAUGUGCAGGGGGCGGGCGAACACGGCUCCACGUCCCCGUGUCUAGGAGCCCCUGGUAGGUGCCCGGUCACCGCUUCCUGGACCCGUCCGAGCAGGGCUGAGCCGCACAGCUGCACAGGAUAUUCUGGCCCUCACAGAUGUGGCCUCCUGUCCACGCCAGGACGUUGGUGGGGCCUGUAGUUGGGGGCUGCCAGAGGCGGCCCCCCUUCUCUGUUGGGCCUUUCUGAACCUGGCAGAGCCACACCGAACCUGGGCACAGCUGGGGUCCCUCCUGUAUGCACCCCUCUGGAGCCAGGCACUUCCACAAAAGCCCCAGCUGCUGCUGGCAGGGUGGAGGGACGUCUGUGCCCCAUUAGCCCAGGUGCUUCUGCCAGCGCCGGGAGCCAGGCAUCACCCCUGGCCAGGGAAGGUCUGCCUGGCAGGGACGCGGUCCGCAGGGAGCUGGCGGCUCUGGGCCUCCCCAGCCUCAGAUCUGCCCCUCCCCCUCCCCCUUCUCCCCACCUGAGGCCUGUUCUCUCUGGGGACAUUUCCUGCCUCCCCUCCCCCUGCCCCCACCCCCAACGCCCCGUGCCUCGAAGGGCAGAGGGUCUGGCCUCCUUCCUUCUCCAUUGCACCCACUCACCUCUGCUGCUCUGCCUUGACCCCUGCUGCGCUUGGGUUGCACCCCCGGCCGCCCCCCCCCCCCCCCCCCCCCCCACUUGUCCGUCUGCCGCAGGAGACCGUGGCCCUCAGGGCUGGGACGGUGCCAUUCCUAGGGCUGAGCCCUGGCUCUCUACCAGGCACGGAGUGAGUGAGUGGACGCCCCCCCUGCCCGGGAGCUGCAUCUGUUUGUUGAGCACCCGCUGCCCACCUGACUGGUCACAUACCCGCCACGCUGGGGAUCCACCUGUGCCGCCGUUGGCUCCUGCGGUCAUCACAUGUGCUUGUAAGGCUGCUGUUACUUGUUGGCCCUGUCUUAGCCUGGGUUGCAGAGCUCGUUUCCCAACUUGGUGCUGCGACAUCAUCUGGAGUCGGCAGGAUGCAGAAUUAGGGUCUGGGAACCACAGCCAAAGGGGAAGAUGCGGGUGAGCAGACCUGGCUCUCUGUGCCAGGAUGGACAAGGGGAACCAGCCAGAGCACUGGCCUCACCGUGGCCACCAACCGCGGUCACCGAUUCUGCACAGUACCGGAACUUGAUUGGUCCAGCAAGUAUCGGCCGUGCACCUGUUGGGCGCCAAGCUGGUCGCCAGGGCCCCGGGAGGGAACAGCCUGCCUGCGCGGCCUCCCUGCCUGGCCUUGCUCUCUCCCAUGGCCUCCCAUCACCCUGGCUGCCUUCUGGAGCUGUAGAUGCUGUGUCCUGCAGGCCUGCCGUCUUCUGGAUCUUUUCCUUCCUGUCACCUGCCCUUCAGAGCUGACCCUAUUUCCUCCGCUUCUGGGAAUCCUUCUGUCUCCUUCUGCUCAGGAGAGUCUCCUUCCUCUGGGUACCAAUAGGCUUGAGUUUCUGGACUACCACAUCCAAAACUAAGCUCCCCCCCCCCAAACCUGCUCCUCCUCUUGGGUCUCGUCUCAGUGGGGCCCCUCCAGCCAAGCAGCCCCUUGAGCCAGACCUGGCCUCCUCCCUUGCCUCCUCUCUCAGCUCAUCCCCCAUCAACAGUCCAUCCAUCACCAAGUCCUGCCGGUUCUGCCUCCUCAGCAUCUCUCAGACCUGUCCACUCCCCUCCGUCCCCACUGCCACCGAGCUGAUCCAGGCCACCCUCAUCUCAGCUCCUGGCUGGUCUCUCAGCCCCUAACCUGCCCUCUAUUCUCCCCUUGGCAGCGGGGCGUCCUUCCACUGUGCACUCGCUCCAGGUGGCAGAAGUCCCCAUGGCUCCCGGCUGCCUCGGGUGCAGGGGAAGUCAGCUGUCAGUCUAACCGGGGUUCCCCUGAAAGUGAAUCUGGGAUAUUCUCCCUCCUUUGGUUUCUGCAGAUGGAUUGAGGCAUGGAUUCUUUGUAUUUAUUUUUCUGGGGACGCUGGGUAUCCUGAAUCUAUGAUUUGGUAUCUUUUAUCAGUUCUGGAAAAUUAUCAGCCACCAUCUCUUAAACAUGGUGUCUACCUGUUUUUCUCUCUUCUAGGGCUCUAAUUAAACUUGCUCUUUUCUACCCUCUCCUUUUCCCCAUCUUUGUGUCUCUCUGCAAUGCAUUCUGGAUAUUUUCUUUUGACUUAUUUUCUUUUGACCUAAUUCUUUCUUUGGCUGUAUUUACUCCAUUCUUAGACUCAUCCAUCGAGUGUUUUUAACGCUUUAUUAUUUUGGAAUGUAACACACAUGCAUGAAAUGCAUAAAUUGUAAAUAUACAGCUUUGCAGAAGAGUGAAAAACAAAUGUACAGUUUAAUAAAUGAUUAGAAACCAAACAUGUAUGGGACUAUUACUGACAGGUCAAGAAGUAAAGUCUCUGAGUUUUUUCUUUUAAAGAUUGACACCUGAGCUAACAUC